AUGGGAUCGAUGACUUGGUGAUUACAUGGUUCUGUUCAAUCCCUCCAAAGCACCUGGCAUUGGCCACUGUCGGAAGGCAGGAUACUGGGCUAGAUGGACCGUUGGUCUGACCCAGUAUGGCU